rnacentral:rRNA from 1 species
GUAACACGUGGGUAACCUGCCCAUCAGAAGGGGAUAACACUUGGAAACAGGUGCUAAUACCGUAUAACAAUCGAAACCGCAUGGUUUUGAUUUGAAAGGCGCUUUCGGGUGUCGCUGAUGGAUGGACCCGCGGUGCAUUAGCUAGUUGGUGAGGUAACGGCUCACCAAGGCCACGAUGCAUAGCCGACCUGAGAGGGUGAUCGGCCACAUUGGGACUGAGACACGGCCCAAACUCCUACGGGAGGCAGCAGUAGGGAAUCUUCGGCAAUGGACGAAAGUCUGACCGAGCAACGCCGCGUGAGUGAAGAAGGUUUUCGGAUCGUAAAACUCUGUUGUUAGAGAAGAACAAGGAUGAGAGUAACUGUUCAUCCCUUGACGGUAUCUAACCAGAAAGCCACGGCUAACUACGUGCCAGCAGCCGCGGUAAUACGUAGGUGGCAAGCGUUGUCCGGAUUUAUUGGGCGUAAAGCGAGCGCAGGCGGUUUCUUAAGUCUGAUGUGAAAGCCCCCGGCUCAACCGGGGAGGGUCAUUGGAAACUGGGAGACUUGAGUGCAGAAGAGGAGAGUGGAAUUCCAUGUGUAGCGGUGAAAUGCGUAGAUAUAUGGAGGAACACCAGUGGCGAAGGCGGCUCUCUGGUCUGUAACUGACGCUGAGGCUCGAAAGCGUGGGGAGCAAACAGGAUUAGAUACCCUGGUAGUCCACGCCGUAAACGAUGAGUGCUAAGUGUUGGAGGGUUUCCGCCCUUCAGUGCUGCAGCUAACGCAUUAAGCACUCCGCCUGGGGAGUACGACCGCAAGGUUGAAACUCAAAGGAAUUGACGGGGGCCCGCACAAGCGGUGGAGCAUGUGGUUUAAUUCGAAGCAACGCGAAGAACCUUACCAGGUCUUGACAUCCUUUGACCACUCUAGAGAUAGAGCUUCCCCUUCGGGGGCAAAGUGACAGGUGGUGCAUGGUUGUCGUCAGCUCGUGUCGUGAGAUGUUGGGUUAAGUCCCGCAACGAGCGCAACCCUUAUUGUUAGUUGCCAUCAUUCAGUUGGGCACUCUAGCAAGACUGCCGGUGACAAACCGGAGGAAGGUGGGGAUGACGUCAAAUCAUCAUGCCCCUUAUGACCUGGGCUACACACGUGCUACAAUGGGAAGUACAACGAGUUGCGAAGUCGCGAGGCUAAGCUAAUCUCUUAAAGCUUCUCUCAGUUCGGAUUGCAGGCUGCAACUCGCCUGCAUGAAGC